CCUACGGGAGGCAGCAGUGAGGAAUAUUGGUCAAUGGGCGAGAGCCUGAACCAGCCAAGCCGCGUGCAGGAUGAAGGCUCUAUGGUUUGUAAACUUCUUUUAUAUGGGAAUAAAGUGAGGUACGUGUUCCUUUUUGAAUGUACCAUACGAAUAAGCAUCGACUAACUCCGUGCCAGCAGCCGCGGUAAUACGGAGGAUGCGAGCGUUAUCCGGAUUUAUUGGGUUUAAAGGGUGCGUAGGUGGUUAAUUAAGUCAGCGGUGAAAGUUUGAGGCUCAACCAUGAAAUUGCCUUUGAUACUGGUAGACUUGAGUAUAGUUGAGGUAGGCGGAAUGCGUGGUGUAGCGGUGAAAUGCAUAGAGAUCACACAGAACACCGAUUGCGAAGGCAGCUUACUAAACUAUAACUGACGCUGAGGCACGAAAGCGUGGGGAGCAAACAGGAUUAGAUACCCGUGUAGUC
rnacentral:rRNA from 1 species